GGUGAGGUGUCCGAGUGGCUGAAGGAGCACGCCUGGAAAGUGUGUAUACGGCAACGUACGCGGCGAGUCAAUCCCCCCCUCACCGCCA
rnacentral:tRNA from 1 species